AGCCCAGGCCAGUUAGAAAGAGAAAUUGGGGAAAAUUAUAAAAAAUAAAAGAGGAAAUCGUAUGAAAGGAAUCCAGGUUAAGCUCUUAUUUUCUUGUCAAAGAUGUCCGUCCUAUUCCUUCUUUAAUCCUUUUUU
rnacentral:ribozyme from 1 species